GAUGAACGCUGGCGGCGUGCCUAAUACAUGCAAGUCGAGCGAACGGACGAGAAGCUUGCUUUUCUGAUGUUAGCGGCGGACGGGUGAGUAACACGUGGAUAACCUACUUAUAAUACUGGGAUAAUUUCGGGAAACCGGAGCUAAUACCGGAUAAUAUUUUGAACCGCAUGGUUCAAAAGUAAAAGACGGUCUUGCCGUCACUUAUAGAUGGAUCCGCGCUGCAUUAGCUAGUUGGUAAGGUAACGGCUUACCAAGGCAACGAUGCAUAGCCGACCUGAGAGGGUGAUCGGCCACACUGGAACUGAGACACGGUCCAGACUCCUACGGGAGGCAGCAGUAGGGAAUCUUCCGCAAUGGGCGAAAGCCUGACGGAGCAACGCCGCGUGAGUGAUGAAGGUCUUCGGAUCGUAAAACUCUGUUAUUAGGGAAGAACAUAUGUGUAAGUAACUGUGCACAUCUUGACGGUACCUAAUCAGAAAGCCACGGCUAACUACGUG
rnacentral:rRNA from 1 species